AGUGAACGCUGGCGGUAGGCCUAACACAUGCAAGUCGAACGGCAGCACAGGAGAGCUUGUUCUCUGGGUGGCGAGUGGCGGACGGGUGAGGAAUACAUCGGAAUCUACUUUUUCGUGGGGGAUAACGUAGGGAAACUUACGCUAAUACCGCAUACGACCUACGGGUGAAAGCAGGGGAUCUUCGGACCUUGCGCGAUUGAAUGAGCCGAUGUCGGAUUAGCUAGUUGGCGGGGUAAAGGCCCACCAAGGCGACGAUCCGUAGCUGGUCUGAGAGGAUGAUCAGCCACACUGGAACUGAGACACGGUCCAGACUCCUACGGGAGGCAGCAGUGGGGAAUAUUGGACAAUGGGCGCAAGCCUGAUCCAGCCAUACCGCGUGGGUGAAGAAGGCCUUCGGGUUGUAAAGCCCUUUUGUUGGGAAAGAAAUCCAGCUGGUUAAUACCCGGUUGGGAUGACGGUACCCAAAGAAUAAGCACCGGCUAACUUCGUGCCAGCCGCCGCCGUAACAC
rnacentral:rRNA from 1 species